GAAUAUUGGUCAAUGGGCGCAGGCCUGAACCAGCCAAGUAGCGUGAAGGAUGACUGCCCUAUGGGUUGUAAACUUCUUUUAUAAAGGAAUAAAGUCACCCACGUGUGGGUGUUUGUAUGUACCUUAUGAAUAAGCAUCGGCUAACUCCGUGCCAGCAGCCGCGGUAAUACGGAGGAUGCGAGCGUUAUCCGGAUUUAUUGGGUUUAAAGGGAGCGUAGAUGGAUGUUUAAGUCAGUUGUGAAAGUUUGCGGCUCAACCGUAAAAUUGCAGUUGAUACUGGAUAUCUUGAGUGCAGUUGAGGCAGGCGGAAUUCGUGGUGUAGCGGUGAAAUGCUUAGAUAUCACGAAGAACUCCGAUUGCGAAGGCAGCCUGCUAAGCUGCAACUGACAUUGAGGCUCGAAAGUGUGGGUAUCAAACAGGAUUAGAUACCCUGGUAGUCCACACGGUAAACGAUGAAUACUCGCUGUUUGCGAUAUACUGCAAGCGGCCAAGCGAAAGCGUUAAGUAUUCCACCUGGGGAGUACGCCGGCAACGGUGAAACUCAAAGGAAUUGACGGGGGCCCGCACAAGCGGAGGAACAUGUGGUUUAAUUCGAUGAUACGCGAGGAACCUUACCCGGGCUUAAAUUGCAGAUGAAUUACGGUGAAAGCCGUAAGCCGCAAGGCAUCUGUGAAGGUGCUGCAUGGUUGUCGUCAGCUCGUGCCGUGAGGUGUCGGCUUAAGUGCCAUAACGAGCGCAACCCUUGUUGUCAGUUACUAACAGGUUCCGCUGAGGACUCUGACAAGACUGCCAUCGUAAGAUGUGAGGAAGGUGGGGAUGACGUCAAAUCAGCACGGCCCUUACGUCCGGGGCUACACACGUGUUACAAUGGGGGGUACAGAGGGCCGCUACCACGCGAGUGGAUGCCAAUCCCCAAAACCUCUCUCAGUUCGGACUGGAGUCUGCAACCCGACUCCACGAAGCUGGAUUCGCUAGUAAUCGCGCAUCAGCCACGGCGCGGUGAAUACGUUCCCG
rnacentral:rRNA from 1 species